CCUGGUAGCGGGGGAGUAACUAUUGGAAACGAUAGCUAAUACCGCAUGAAAUGGAUUAUCGCAUGAUAAUCGAUUGAAAGGUGCAAAUGCAUCACUACCAGAUGGACCUGCGUUGUAUUAGCUAGUUGGUGAGGUAACGGCUCACCAAGGCAACGAUACAUAGCCGACCUGAGAGGGUGAUCGGCCACACUGGGACUGAGACACGGCCCAG
rnacentral:rRNA from 1 species